rnacentral:rRNA from 1 species
AUUGAACGCUGGCGGCAGGCCUAACACAUGCAAGUCGAGCGGAGCGGCGGACGGGUGAGUAAUGCCUAGGAAUCUGCCUGGUAGUGGGGGAUAACGUCCGGAAACGGGCGCUAAUACCGCAUACUCUCAGAUGAGCCUAGGUCGGAUUAGCUAGUUGGUGGGGUAAAGGCCUACCAAGGCGACGAGCCGUAACUGGUCUGAGAGGAUGAUCAGUCACACUGGAACGUAGGACGGGUCAAUACGACUAAGGUAGGAAGAAGUAGGGAAGAGGGGAAGAGGGGCGAAAGCCUGAACGAGACAUGCAGCGUGUGUGAAGAAGGUAUUAGAAUUGUAAAGCACUUUAAGUUGGGAGGCGUGACCGACAGAAUAAGCGCCGGCUAACUUCGAGCCAGCAGCCGCGGUAAUUA